AAAUAAGAAGCAAUUUGCAUUUAAUUUCGACUUAAAAGAUAGGGAUUUUUCCCCUUAUUUA
rnacentral:tRNA from 1 species